rnacentral:lncRNA from 1 species
AUGAGGAAGCUGGAACUUGUAAGGGAUUUAAGAACCUAGCCACACAUCAAGCACUUGGUAAGAGGUGAAGCUAUCUAUGGUUUGGUGACUCCAGGCUUUCAGCUUUACAUUAUUCUGCCUCUCCUCAUCUGCUUCUGCAGGCAGUCAUGUUAGCACAGAUCAAGGUCAUGCCAUGGUCCCAGUACCUUUUUUCUUUUCAAAAGUUAUCUCAAGUUGU